rnacentral:rRNA from 1 species
AUUGAACGCUGGCGGCAUGCUUUACACAUGCAAGUCGAACGGCAGCACGGACUUCGGUCUGGUGGCGAGUGGCGAACGGGUGAGUAAUACAUCGGAACGUGCCCAGUUGUGGGGGAUAACUACUCGAAAGAGUAGCUAAUACCGCGUGAGAUCUACGGAUGAAAGCAGGGGAUCGCAAGACCUUGUGCUACUAGAGCGGCCGAUGGCAGAUUAGGUAGUUGGUGGGAUAAAAGCUUACCAAGCCGACGAUCUGUAGCUGGUCUAAGAGGACGAUCAGCCACACUGGGACUGAGACACGGCCCAGACUCCUACGGGAGGCAGCAGUGGGGAAUUUUGGACAAUGGGCGCAAGCCUGAUCCAGCAAUGCCGCGUGCAGGAUGAAGGCCUUCGGGUUGUAAACUGCUUUUGUACGGAACGAAAAGCCCUGGGUUAAUACCCUGGGGUCAUGACGGUACCGUAAGAAUAAGCACCGGCUAACUACGUGCCAGCCGCCGCGGUAAUAC